GAUGAACGCUAGCGGCAGGCCUAAUACAUGCAAGACGAACGGUAAGUUGAGUAGCAAUACUUAGCCAAGAGUGUCGUACGGGUGCGUAACACGUAUGCAACCUACCCUAUACAGGAGGAUAGCCUAGGGAAACCUGGAUUAACCCUUCAUAGUAUUAUUGGAUGGCAUCAUUUGAUAAUUAAAACUGAGGUGGUAUAGGAUGGGCAUGCGUCUGAUUAGUUAGUUGGCGGGGUAAUGGCCCACCAAGACGAUGAUCAGUAGGGGGUUCUGAGAGGAAGAUCCCCCACACUGGCACUGAGAUACGGGCCAGACUCCUACGGGAGCAGCAGUAGGGAAUAUUGGUCAAUGGAUGCAAGUCUGAACCAGCCAUGCCGCGUGCAGGAAGAAGGGCCC
rnacentral:rRNA from 1 species